UUGCACGCUGGCGGCAUGCUUUACACCUGCCAGUCGCACGGCAGCGCGGGCUUCGGCCUGGCGGCGAGUGGCGAACGGGUGAGUAAUGCAUCGGAACGUGCCCAGUAGUGGGGGAUAGCCCGGCGAAAGCCGGAUUAAUACCGCAUACGACCUGAGGGUGAAAGCGGGGGACCGAAAGGCCUCGCGCUAUUGGAGCGGCCGAUGUCGGUUUAGCUAGUUGGUGGGGUAAAGGCUUACCAAGGCGACGAUCCGUAGCUGGUCUGAGAGGACGACCAGCCACACUGGGACUGAGACACGGCCCAGACUCCUACGGGAGGCAGCAGUGGGGAAUUUUGGACAAUGGGGGCAACCCUGAUCCAGCCAUGCCGCGUGCGGGAAGAAGGCCUUCGGGUUGUAAACCGCUUUUGUUCGGGAAGAAAUCCUCUGGGCUAAUACCCCGGGGGGAUGACGGUACCGGAAGAAUAAGCACCGGCUAACUACGU
rnacentral:rRNA from 1 species